rnacentral:rRNA from 1 species
UACGUAGGGGGCAAGCGUUGUCCGGAAUCAUUGGGCGUAAAGAGCGUGUAGGCGGCCCGGUAAGUCCGCUGUGAAAGUCCAGGGCUCAACCCUGGGAUGCCGGUGGAUACUGUCGGGCUCGAGUCCGGAAGAGGAGUGUGGAAUUCCUGGUGUAGCAGUGAAAUGCGUAGAUAUCUGGAGGAACACCGGUGGCGAAGGCGCCCACCUGGCCUGUUACUGACGCUGAAGCGCGAAAGCUAGGGGAGCAAACGGG